rnacentral:lncRNA from 1 species
AGAAACAGGCAGCCUGACUAGAGAACAAACUACCAAUUAACGAGCGAGGAAACAGGGCCAGAGAAUUGGAACAAAAUACAAGGCUGCCUCUGAAAGGAAUAUCUUUGUGCUGAUGUGUCCAUCAAGAGAACAUACACAGAAGUGACACUUGCCAGUAAUUUGCAAGCAGAUGGAACUUCAAUAUGGCAAUAGAGAAAGAAUCAAUUAGACCAGAGUCUCCUCAGGAAGACUUUCUAUAGGUGGACGGUCCCCUGGAGAGCCCGCUGUGUUGGAAGAUGUAGAAUAUUCAUAUAUCUGGUGAGCAUCUGCUAGAUGCCAGGGUUGGGGAGAGUCAAGUUGAAGCAAGCAUGAACCCUCAAGGACCUACCAUUUCAAGGCAAGAAAUAGAUACAAAUACAGCGUAAUUAUCUCUCCAAUUAAAGAGCAACCAAGGGACAACUGAACUGGAGGUUCUGCAGAAUUACAACUAAGCACGCAGCCGAGGAAUCUACUCAGCUUUGAUCUCUUAUCGCUCUGCACACACAGCCCUUUCUCUGUAAGGCUAGCUGCUCUCAGCAUCACUGUGUCUAAUCAAACGUGUCACACCUCCACUGAGAAAAUAUUUACUGGAUAGCUACUAGACAUAAGGAUGCAGAAAUGAAUUAGAAAAAUUCCUCGCCCUUGUUCAAAGCUAUGCUGGCUCUUAGAACAUCUGAGCCCCCACUGUUUCAUCUUUAGAGGAUCCCAGCUGCUGGGGUGUGAGGCCAGUGCUGGAGCCAGCAGUCUCUGACCCAGAAGGGACCUGAGGUGCUAAAGAAAAGGGUACAAGCUGGAAAAGGGGAAAAUGAAUCAUGCUACAGGCCAAGUGUCCAUCACUGAUUCCCAGAGAUGCCCUUUGUGUGGUAGGCACUUCCAUGUGGACUCGCUACAGAGGUCAUAAGACCCUAAUUCCAGAGGGCCCUACCCUAUAACCAGAAGGAAGAACUAUUGCACAGAGAAUCUAAGAAGAAUCUAGACAGACAGCCCUUGCUGGAUUUCUCCACUCUGUUAGCAUUCGAUCAUUUGCCUUUUGUCCAGUCAUAUUUCUGCAUGGCUGUCCAUACUUUGUUGAACCUAAGCACAAAAUGGAAAGUUUUCCCUGUAUCUUUGGGUCGUCAUUCUGAAGGCUCCCAUGUUAUGUAAAACUAUGAUCAAAUAAAUAUGCAUGCCUUUUCUCCUAUAA